UACAGAGAGUGCGAACGUUGUUCGGAAUUACUGGGCUUAAAGCGCACGUAGGCGGCAUCGUAAGUGUCCGGUGAAAUCCCACGGCUCACCCGUGGAACUGCCUGGCAGACUGCGAUACUCGAGUGUGGUAGGGGAGAGCGGAACUCCUGGUGGAGCGGUGAAAUGCGUAGAUAUCAGGAGGAACACCGGUGGCGAAGGCGGCUCUCUGGUCCACAACUGACGCUGAGGUGCGAAAGCUAGGGGAGCAAACGGG
rnacentral:rRNA from 1 species